UUGAUAUAUAAAAAUAAUACUUCCAAAAAAAUUCUACUAAAAAAAAAACAUGUACAAAAACUUAAUCCAAACAACCAUGCUUCCACAAUGUUACGAUAAUAAUAUACAAUCAAGCUCAACAUGCAAUAAUAAUAUAUACUUGAGGGAGCCAAGCUCAACAUUUGAAUCCACACAUAAUCACAACAGUAAAUCCAUAAUAUUUUGGGAGCCAAGCUUGACCCUCAAUCAAUACAUUUUACGGUUCCAAAAAAAAACCACAAUCGAUACAGAGUUCUAAGAUAUGACAAUAUUAAUAAAUAACAGAUACACUGCAGAAAAGAUAUAUAAAAAUAACUCCCUAUAAAACUAUUGCUCAGUCACCAGUUGCUCUUCUGAUUUUGAAAUGUCCACAUCCAAGCUUAAGUGCUUAACUCAUGAGUGUGCUUGGACCUGCCACUUCUGCCACUGCUUUUCUUAUGGGAUCGUUGUUUAGCUUCGGACAAUAUUUGAUUUGAACAUCUUGAAGUGAUGCCAUAUUCUGUAGGCAUUCUGGUAAUUCUCUAAGAUUUCUACAGCCUUCAACUUUCACGACUUUUAAACUGUUGGUAGAUCCUCGAAUAAGCCAUUCUGGAAACUCCACUAAUUUUGGCAGCCAUCCUAACUCUAGUUUUUGGAGGCUGAAUUGAGUUGGGUAUCGAUUCUCUUCUCCUUCCUCCAUUAUCAAAUCAAGGUUUUCACAUCCUUUAAUACAUAGAGUUUCUAAUGCCGUUAGGCAUUUAAUACUUUGUGGCAAAGAUUUCAAGCUACUACAAUAACGGAUGAUCAAUCUUCGAAGCUUUUUGAGGCCUUGCAUGUCUUCAAAUAAAUAUUCUAAAUUAUUGCACCAGCUAAUGAACAAAAAUCGAAGAGACUUCAAGCAACCUAUUCCACCCGUUGGUAAAUAAUUUUGCUUCAUACUUAUCCAAAGCCAUCUAAGGUUAAUCAUGUACUUUAUAUCUUUGGGCAACUCUUCAAGACUCCAACAUCCAAAUAGUAGUAGAACUUGCAAGCUUUGUAGCUUACAUAUGGAAUUAGGGAGUCUUUGGAUGGUAUGGCUCUGCCAUAAAUUAAGAUAUUUCAAAUGCUUCAAAUUGCCUAUACUUGUUGGCAGCACCUCAAACCUUGAAUGACUCAAAUUCAAGAAUCUCAAGUACUGAAAUCUUGAGAAACACGUCUUAAUAAACGCUUCACUACUAAUCCCCUCUUUUCUUUCACUUUCACAGCAAAUGAUUCGCACACGAUCCAAGUUUUGUAAUGAUUCAGGAAGAUCAUUUGGAAGUAAUUCAGGAUAAGGAAAAGAUAUAUGUCGAACACUUGCCAACCUGUUGAGUGCUGGUCGUUACCACUGAACAUUCAUUUUUUGAGACCAAUGAUGCUAGAUCAUGCAUUAAAUCAUGCAUUUUACAUUUAACAAGAUUAGGCCCUUCAUAAAAAUCUUGGAAGAAACAUCUAGAGCACAGCUCUUUAAAAUAGCGUAGGCCAAUAUCUUCUAACUGUUGAUUCUCAUUGGAAGAUUGAACAAGUCCAUUUGCCAUCCAUAAAUAAACCAAUUCAAUAUCAUCCAUUACAUAAUCCUUGGGAAAAAUUGAAUAAUAUGCAAAGCAUCUUUUCAAGUAAGAUGGCAAGUGUUCAUAGCUCAAUCUUAAAGCAGGCAAAAUGUCAUCUUCCUUUUGCUCUAAUUUCCAUAUCUCAUGAUCUCUGAUAAAUUCCCAUUCACGCUCAUCAGUUACAGAGUAAAGCAGAGAUCCUAAUGUUAUCACUGCCAAAGGAACUCCUUUGCAUUUUCUCACAAUUUCUUCCCCAAUUCUUUUCAAGUUUGGAUUUUGUUUUUCUUGUUGUCCUUUAAAUGCACAUUUAAAAAACAAAGACAAACAAUCCUUGUGUGAAAGAAGACUCAAAUUGUGCACAGAGACUGUGCCCAUAACUUCAGCAACACGUUGACUACGAGUGGUGACUAUAAUUUUACUUCCGUCAGCACCUCCCAUUAACAAAGUUUUCAGUUCACCCCAUUUUCUAGGGUCCUCGCUCCACACAUCAUCUAGGAUGAGUAAAUAUUUCCUUCCAUUCAAAGCCUCUCGCAAGGUUCUUUGUAAUUGGUCUAUACCCAUAUCCGUAUAUCGUUGACCAGUAGAUGCAGAGUCAAGAAUUUUAAUAAUCACCUUAUCUAAUUCAAAGACAUUGGAAACACAAACCUACAACUUCAACUCAAAAUGAGUAGCUAUCCUUUGAUCAUUAUAAACCAAUUUAUCAACUGUAGUCUUCCCAAUACCUCCUAUUCCAACAAUUGGGAUAAUGAAGGCAUUUUCACCAUCAACAGAUUGCAACAACGUUUCAAUGAUGUCAUCUCUAGCUUGUUCCCUCCCAAUGACAUUAGAAGCAUCUAUAAAGGAGUGGGUCAUCUCCCUCUCCCUAUGAAUGACAUGCCUAUCAAAAAUCUGCUCAGUAAGACCAAAAUCAGACUUAAGAGCUGCGAUUUCAGCUACCCUCUCUCUAAUCUGCUUUAGUUUAUGCCCCAUUCUAAAGCGGAAUGCAAGUGGAUUAGAGCUAGAAAAGAAUCGCCGUACCUUUCGAGUGGUGUUACCAGACUUGACCACUUGCCUUCGCAAGGCUUCACAUUCGAACUCAUCCACCACAUCUUCUGCAUCGUAUAGGACUUCUUUGAGAUUCUCCAGCCAAAGUUCUAUCCGUGAAUUCUGUGACCGCUGCUGCUCGGCAUCCAAAAGCACAGCUUUGAUGACUUUAAAGUUGUCCUUAAUCUUUUCAAGUUCACUUUCGAGUCCCCAUGCAAGGAAAAAUUCUUGCAGAGCAAGAGAGCCCAACUUCCCCAGAACACUUUCUGCGAUGUUAUAGAGAAAAGACUCCGCCAUUGUGU
rnacentral:misc_RNA from 1 species